CUGGAGGGCGCUGGCUUGCCUCUUCCAGCCAUACAGGAGAACCUCUCAAGCUCCCAUGUAUUAAUUCCUCAGCAGGUGGAACUCGGAGAAACAAAGCUGCACCAAACCACUGCAUUAUUUUAUCCGUGGACCAACCGCAGAGGGAGAGGAGGUGAACCAGUUUCAAGAGAUUCCUUCUCUUCCAUGGUUACUGAGUCUGUCAAAGACCAUCUCCUACAGAAAUUGAUCCAUACUCUUUUUCAGAGAUCUUCCACUGCAUUCCAUCAUUUUGAAGCCUUUUCAAUCUGGGCCCAAGGAACAGCCACCAAGCAAAUCCCAGUACUAUGCAUAUUACGGAUUCCACAUAAUAACCGUCCAGAGUAG